CCUACGGGUGGCUGCAGUGGGGAAUAUUGCACAAUGGGCGCAAGCCUGAUGCAGCCAUGCCGCGUGUGUGAAGAAGGCCUUCGGGUUGUAAAGCACUUUCAGCGGGGAGGAAGGCGGUGAGGUUAAUAACCUUAUCGAUUGACGUUACCCGCAGAAGAAGCACCGGCUAACUCCGUGCCAGCAGCCGCGGUAAUACGGAGGGUGCAAGCGUUAAUCGGAAUUACUGGGCGUAAAGCGCACGCAGGCGGUCUGUCAAGUCGGAUGUGAAAUCCCCGGGCUCAACCUGGGAACUGCAUUCGAAACUGGCAGGCUAGAGUCUUGUAGAGGGGGGUAGAAUUCCAGGUGUAGCGGUGAAAUGCGUAGAGAUCUGGAGGAAUACCGGUGGCGAAGGCGGCCCCCUGGACAAAGACUGACGCUCAGGUGCGAAAGCGUGGGGAGCAAACAGGAUUAGAUACCCGGGUAGUC
rnacentral:rRNA from 1 species